GGUGUACAGGUGGUGCAUGGCUGUCGUCAGCUCGUGUCGUGAGAUGUUGGGUUAAGUCCCGCAACGAGCGCAACCCUCGUUCUAUGUUGCCAGCACGUUAUGGUGGGGACUCAUAGGAGACUGCCGGGGUCAACUCGGAGGAAGGUGGGGAUGACGUCAAGUCAUCAUGCCCCUUAAGUCCAGGGCUUCACGCAUGCUACAAUGGCCGGUACAAAGGGCUGCGAU
rnacentral:rRNA from 1 species